GUUUUACAUUCAUCAGGCGCUUGGAAAUUUUCAUCGAUGGGUAUCCUCGUCCUGAUAGCCCAGCCUGUGCCGCAAGAUGCGGAGCAAGGUGCCCAAAUGGACCACUGAUGGUAUAGCUCAGGCGGACAUUUCUGUGAAUCCAAAAACCGUGGUUCUCUUAACAACAAGAAUGGAUGGUCCUUGAUAAAUGGCACGAAGGUAUGGAAAUUCGUCGAAACCUCUGUCGAGGAUCAAUACGAAGUACAUACGAAUCGAAAGGAUGGUUACUGCGAGAAAUGGUGCAGGCAUACAUGUGAAUGAACUAUUGGACACAAUGUCAUUAACAAAGUGAAGAAAAAAAAAAAUUACAACGGAAUGGUACGAAAAUUAGUUAGUGAAAAAUGCUUCCCGUUAAUCUUGUUGAUGAAUUAGAUUCACGUAAUUUUAUGCAAUCAUUCCAACUUUAACACUCGAAUAUUCAAAGAAUGACGAAAAAAAUUCAGCAGCUAAACCUCGAGAAAAAUGACUUUAUUUUUUAUCAAUUAUCAUAUCAAAAAAAUAUUAAUGUAGCGUUAAAGAAACUGACUUAACAUUUGAAUUGAUUUAUUAAUUUUAUAGAAUAAUUUCGAAUGGUCAUCUGUUUAAAAUCGAAUUUUUUCACUUUUUUGAGUGAGGGCCAUCGAAAGCUGUCUGGAUCGAUACUUUAGUGACUUUGCGAAUAUUCAUUCGUUUUCUACUAUGCCAAAGAAUUUAAUACGGAAUAAUGAUAAAAUUUGAGAAAUAUCAGUAUUAUAAAUUGAUAUGUGUAAAGUUUUAAAGACGACUGAAUUUUUCGUCAUUUUUUUCAACCAGGAAGUUUUGAAAAUCUCAUUCAAAUUUUUGACUGAAAAAAUGCUUUAUUCAUUCUCUAAAUGAACAUUUGUCAACUGCAAAACAUGGAUUUUUCUUUUUGCCGCGAUAUUUUUCUCGCUGAUUCUUGCAUGAACAUACAAUCCUUCAGUUUCGUACCUGCAACCAUUUCGCUGUUACCUCCAAGGUCCGAGGGGCCUCUGGGUCAUCGCCUGACCCGUCCUCAAUUAUUUCCUCGUCUUCUCCAGUAACAUUUUCCUCUGAACCAUCAUCAUUCUCCUCCUCUUUCUCUUCGUUACUCGUCACAUUCUAUCAUAUUUUUAUUCUUUUUCAGUUCGUGCUAACUCUCAUCAAGGCCACUUAAUUGCGUACGAAUUUGUCACAUCACUAGCCCUCAAAAUUUACACUCACGAAUACUAAGCUGUGACUACUUCCAAUUUUGGAGAAACCGAAAAAGAAAAACUCGACGAACCCUUUUUUGUUAUUAAACUACAACGAGUUGAUGAGAAUUUGCACAAAAAAUGAGCAUUGUCGAACAUCCACCGUUCUAAAUAUCACUUCAGCUGUCUCAAAAAUAAAAUCGUAUCUUUUUUCAAUACCGACAUUAAUAAUAAUUAGUGAGAUAUAAAGGAGCCAUGAAAAUAAAAAUUUCAAUUUCAUCUUUUUAUAAAAACAAGAAAAUAAUAACGAAGUCAUUGAGCAUACGUGAUGUUCAACGACUUCGGACUCAUCAAAUAAUGAGAGUAGGAAAAUCCAUGUGAAAUCAAACCUCACUUACCUUGUUGUAUUCGGGAUCGAGACACGGUUCAUUCGAGCACGGGCUUGACUGCUGAAGUUGUGGUCCAUGAGGCACAGCGCGACAAUGUUUUCGAUGUUUUUUGUGACGGAAAUUGCGUGAGCGCACCCGUUCACCAUCACCACAUGACGUGCUACAUUCGCUCCAAGAACCCCAUUCGUUGCUGAUUGUUUUUGCUGGACACCGGGUGAAUUUGAAGGCGAACUCACCAUGCGGUACUCGGACACGGACGUCUGUCCGUUAACGAUUCGGUACAAUUGUGAGUUGCGGCAGCAGCCGGAUCUCGAUAUUUUCGUUGCCUCAGUUGUUGCCCUCCGCAGUUGGCCGGGCAAGGACCCCAAGCACCCCAAUGAGUUACUUUGCAAGCUUCUGUUAUUGGUUUGACAAAUUUCAAAUCAGAUAAAUAUUGCCAUAAGCUCUUAAAGAAUCACAGAUAUGCGAACUAGACGAACGAUGCAAAUAAAAAGUAUAUUUGUCGAUGUUGAGGAAUACUGUUCUCUGAGAAAAUGGAUGAUUACGAAAGUGUGAUUGAACAUGAUCGAAGUUUAAUGAACUACUGUAAAGCAAAUCAAUAUAACAAAGCAAUACUCGCUA
rnacentral:lncRNA from 1 species